ACGGCCAUACCAUAUUGGAAGCACCGGUUCUCGUCCGAUCACUGAAGUUAAGCAAUGUCGGGUCUGGUCAGUACUUGGGAGGGUGACCACCUGGGAACACCGGAUGCUGUAGGUU
rnacentral:rRNA from 1 species